AUGGUCACCGUCACCUCAGAUUCAGCACUGUGCUACUACGCUGCUUUUGACUACUGGGGAAAAGGUACAAUGGUAACUGUUUCAUCAGCCACUUCAUCUGCACCAACAGUGUUUCCUCUGAAGCCAUGUGAUACUGAGUCUGGAGAUACGGUCACUCUUGGCUGCCUUGCCACCGGCUUCACACCCUCCACAGUGACCUACGCAUGGAGCACAGGAAAAGGGGUUGCCUUGACAGGCUCCAUUCAGUACCCCCCAGUGUUGAAAAACAACCUUUAUACUGGAUUCAGUCAAGUUCGAAUAAGCAGUCAGGAAUGGAACACCGAGAAAGCCUUUUUCAAAUGUGCCGUGACACACACAGCGGGAAACGGAGAGGCUAUUAUCAUAAAAGACGCUGUGAAAUACAUUCCACCAACUCUUAAAGUGUUCACCUCCUCUGAUGAGGACAACGAGAUUUCCUUCUCCUGCUUUGCCAAAGAUUUUUCACCAAAAGAAUUUGACAUCAAAUGGCUGAAAGAUGACAAAGAAUUCACCAACAAAAAAUAUGAGAUCAAAACACCUUACACGGAGAUAAAAGACCAGAACGAAACUAAGCUCUACAGUGCAGCAAGUCUUCUUACAGUGCCCUCCAAUGAGAUAACACCCAUCAAUAUUGUCACAUGUCAGUUUAAGGGGAGAGAUGAACACGGCCCAAAAGACACAAAUUCAUCUAUAAGUCAAACCACUUGUUGUGACGAAAAUAACGGGGAAUGUCCUGAGGCAGAUGUGGACAUAAAAAUCAUUGGACCAACAAUGGAGGACAUCUUCAAAAAUGGAGAGGGAACUGUAGAUUGUCAAGUCAAGAUUAACGAACCAUCUGUCGAGAGGAUUUUUUGGGAAACCCCAGAUGGAAACCCAAUACCUGGUGCCAAACCAGUGACGCCCCCUAACGGAAGUAAACAAACAUUCACCGCUAAACUUCCCAUCACAUUUGACGAAUGGAGCAGGGGGGAAAAGUACAUAUGCAUUGUUGAACAUAACAAACACUUUAACCAACUUAAGAAACCCUACCAAAGGAUUAUUGGAGGACAGAUUCAGCGUCCUUCAGUUUUUAUGCUACCUCCACUAGAACAUACUAAAACAGAAACAGUGACCCUGACUUGCUAUGUGAAAGACUUCUACCCUAAGGAAGUUUUUGUGUCUUGGCUUGUUGAUGACGAGGAAGCAAACUCAAAAUAUGAGUUCUAUACAACAGACCCUGUAGGAAAUGGUGAAUCCUAUUCAGCCUAUGGCCAUUUAACCAUCAGCCUUGCCCAGUGGAAAAACAAUGACACAGUGUACAGCUGUGAAGUCUUCCACGAGUCUGUGUCUAACUCAACUAAAGCUAUUGUCAGGUCCAUCGGGCACAGAACAUUUGAAAGAACCAACAUGGUCAACCUCAACAUGAACAUCCCUGAAAAGUGCAAGCCCCAACAGUGCAUUAACACUGUUUUGCAUACAGACUUCUACCAAGGGAACAGUGCCACAGAGACAGAUAAAGAUGACAUGGUGACCACGGCCAUCACCUUCAUUCUGCUCUUCCUUCUCACUCUGCUGUUCACCAUUGGAACUACUGCUUUCAAGGUUAAAUGAAACAAGGUGAACUUUCUGUAAAAAGAAAAAUUAUUUCCACACAUUUGUUCUUAUAAAGUCAUUGU